GUGCCAGCAGCCGCGGUAAUACGUAGGGAGCAAGCGUUAUCCGGAUUUAUUGGGUGUAAAGGGUGCGUAGACGGGAUAGUAAGUUAGCUGUGAAAUCCCUCGGCUUAACUGAGGAACUGCAACUAAAACUGUUAUUCUUGAGUACUGGAGAGGAAAGUGGAAUUCCUAGUGUAGCGGUGAAAUGCGUAGAUAUUAGGAGGAACACCAGUGGCGAAGGCGACUUUCUGGACAGAAACUGACGUUGAGGCACGAAAGUGUGGGGAGCAAACAGGAUUAGAUACCCUGGUAGUCCACACUGUAAACGAUGGAUACUAGGUGUAGGGUGUGAUAAACGCUCUGUGCCGUCGCAAACGCAGUAAGUAUCCCACCUGGGGAGUACGGCCGCAAGGUUGAAACUCAAAGGAAUUGACGGGGGCCCGCACAAGCAGUGGAGUAUGUGGUUUAAUUCGAAGCAACGCGAAGAACCUUACCAGGGCUUGACAUAUAUCGGAAUAUAUUAGAGAUAAUAUAGUCCUUCGGGACUGAUAUACAGGUGGUGCAUGGUUGUCGUCAGCUCGUGUCGUGAGAUGUUAGGUUAAGUCCUGCAACGAGCGCAACCCUUAUCCUUAGUUGCCAGCACAUUAUGGUGGGAACUCUGAGGAGACUGCCGGUGAUAAAUCGGAGGAAGGUGGGGACGACGUCAAAUCAUCAUGCCCUUUAUGUCCUGGGCUACACACGUACUACAAUGGAUGUUACAGAGGGAAGCGAAAUAGUGAUAUGGAGCAAAACCCAAAAAAGCAUUCUCAGUUCGGAUUGAAGUCUGAAAUUCGACUUCAUGAAGCCGGAAUUGCUAGUAAUGGCAGGUCAGCAUACUGCCGUGAAUACGUUCCCGGGCCUUGUACACACCGCCCGU
rnacentral:rRNA from 1 species